rnacentral:rRNA from 1 species
UACGUAGGUGGCAAGCGUUGUCCGGAUUUACUGGGUGUAAAGGGCGCGUAGGCGGGAUGGCAAGUCAGAUGUGAAAUCUACGGGCUUAACCCGUAAACUGCAUUUGAAACUGUCGUUCUUGAGUAUCGGAGAGGCAAGCGGAAUUCCUAGUGUAGCGGUGAAAUGCGUAGAUAUUAGGAGGAACACCAGUGGCGAAGGCGGCUUGCUGGACGACAGCUGACGCUGAGGCGCGAAGGCGUGGGGAGCAAAC